rnacentral:rRNA from 1 species
CGGGAAUUCGAUUAGAGUUUGAUCAUGGCUCAGAUUGAACGCUGGCGGCAGGCUUAACACAUGCAAGUCGAGCGGGGAAGAGUAGCUUGCUACUUUACCUAGCGGCGGACGGGUGAGUAAUGCUUAGGAAUCUGCCUAUUAGUGGGGGACAACAUCUCGAAAGGGAUGCUAAUACCGCAUACGUCCUACGGGAGAAAGCAGGGGACCUUCGGGCCUUGCGCUAAUAGAUGAGCCUAAGUCGGAUUAGCUAGUUGGUGGGGUAAAGGCCUACCAAGGCGACGAUCUGUAGCGGGUCUGAGAGGAUGAUCCGCCACACUGGGACUGAGACACGGCCCAGACUCCUACGGGAGGCAGCAGUGGGGAAUAUUGGACAAUGGGGGGAACCCUGAUCCAGCCAUGCCGCGUGUGUGAAGAAGGCCUUUUGGUUGUAAAGCACUUUAAGCGAGGAGGAGGCUACCGAGAUUAAUACUCUUGGAUAGUGGACGUUACUCGCAGAAUAAGCACCGGCUAACUCUGUGCCAGCAGCCGCGGUAAACGAAUCACUAGUGAAUUCGCGGCCGCCUGCAGGUCGACCAUAUGGGAGAGCUCCC